GACGAACGCUGGCGGUGUGCUUAACACAUGCAAGUCGAACGGUAAGGCCCUUUCGGGGGUACACGAGUGGCGAACGGGUGAGUAACACGUGAGCAACCUGCCCUCAUCUCUGGGAUAACAGUCGGAAACGGUUGCUAAUACUGGAUAUGAGCUUGCAAGGCAUCUUGUGGUUUGGAAAGAUUUUUUUUGGUUGGGGAUGGACUCGCGGCCUAUCAGCUUGUUGGUGAGGUAGUGGCUCACCAAGGCUUCGACGGGUAGCCGGCCUGAGAGGGCGACCGGCCACAUUGGGACUGAGAUACGGCCCAAACUCCUACGGGAGGCAGCAGUGGGGAAUAUUGCACAAUGGACGGAAGUCUGAUGCAGCAACGCCGCGUGCGGGAUGACGGCCUUCGGGUUGUAAACCGCUUUCAAUUGUGACGAAGCUUUUUUGUGACGGUAGCAGUAGAAGAAGCACCGGCUAACUACGUG
rnacentral:rRNA from 1 species